CAUUAGCUAGUAGGUGAGGUAAGAGCUCACCUAGGCGACGAUGUGUAGCCGGUCUGAGAGGAUGAACGGCCACAAUGGAACUGAGACACGGUCCAUACUCCUACGGGAGGCAGCAGUGGGGAAUAUUGCACAAUGGGGGAAACCCUGAUGCAGCAACGCCGCGUGAGUGAAGAAGGUUUUCGGAUUGUAAAGCUCUGUUAGCAGGGAAGAGGAAGGACGGUACCUGCAGAGGAAGCCACGGCUAACUACGUGCCAGCAGCCGCGGUAAUACGUAGGUGGCAAGCGUUGUUCGGAAUAACUGGGCGUAAAGGAUGCGUAGGCGGUUGAGUAAGUUAUGUGUUAAAUAUAUAGGCUUAACCUGUAGAAAGCACAUAAAACUGUUUAACUAGAGUGCAGGAGAGGUAAGUGGAAUUCCUAGUGUAGCGGUGAAAUGCGUAGAGAUUAGGAAGAACACCAGUGGCGAAGGCGACUUACUGGACUGUAACUGACGCUGAGGCAUGAGAGCAUGGGGAGCAAACAGGAUUAGAUACCCUGGUAGUCCAUGCUGUAAACGAUGGGUACUAGGUGUGGGUUGUGAAUAACAAUCCGUGCCGUCGC
rnacentral:rRNA from 1 species